rnacentral:rRNA from 1 species
UACGGGGGGGGCAAGCGUUGUUCGGAAUUACUGGGCGUAAAGGCUCGUAGGCGGCCAACUAAGUCAGACGUGAAAUCCCCAGGCUUAACCUGGGAACUGCGUCUGAUACUGGAUGGCUUGAAUUCGGGAGAGGGAUGCAGAAUUCCAGGUGUAGCGGUGAAAUGCGUAGAUAUCUGGAGGAAUACCGGUGGCGAAGGCGGCAUCCUGGACCGAGAUUGACGCUGAUGAGCGAAAGCUAGGGGAGCAAACGGG